GAUGAACGCUGGCGGCGUGCCUAAUACAUGCAAGUCGAGCGAACAGAUGAGGAGCUUGCUCCUCUGACGUUAGCGGCGGACGGGUGGGUAACACGUGGAUAACCUACCUAUAAGACUGGGAUAACUUCGGGAAACCGGAGCUAAUACCGGAUAAUAUAUUGAACCGCAUGGUUCAAUAGUGAAAGACGGUUUUACUGUCACUUAUAGAUGGAUCCGCGCCGCAUUAGCUAGUUGGUAAGGUAACGGCUUACCAAGGCAACGAUGCGUAGCCGACCUGAGAGGGUGAUCGGCCACACUGGAACUGAGACACGGUCCAGACUCCUACGGGAGGCAGCAGUAGGGAAUCUUCCGCAAUGGGCGAAAGCCUGACGGAGCAACGCCGCGUGAGUGAUGAAGGUCUUCGGAUCGUAAAACUCUGUUAUUAGGGAAGAACAAACGUGUAAGUAACUAUGCACGUCUUGACGGUACCUAAUCAGAAAGCCACGGCUAACUACGUG
rnacentral:rRNA from 1 species